GCUGGGUAUGGUGGUGCACACCUGUCAUCCCAGUGGCUCAGGAGGCUGAGGCAGGAGAAUCGCGAUUUCAAAGCCAGCCUCAGCAACAGUGAGGCACUAAGCAACUUGAUGAGACCCUGUCUCUA
rnacentral:sRNA from 1 species